rnacentral:rRNA from 1 species
GUGAUGACGGGUAACGGGGAAUAAGGGUUCGAUUCCGGAGAGAGGGCCUGAGAAACGGCCCUCAGGUCUAAGGACACGCAGCAGGCGCGCAAAUUAUCCCCUGGCAACACUUUGCCGAGAUAGUGACAAUAAAUAACAAUGCAGGGCUCUUACGGGUCUUGCAAUUGGAAUGAGUACAAUUUAAAUCCCUUAACGAGGAUCAAUUGGAGGGCAAGUCUGGUGCCAGCAGCCGCGGUAAUUCCAGCUCCAAUAGCGUAUAUUAAAGUUGUUGCCGUUAAAAAGCUCGUAGUCGAACUUCGGCGCCUGAUGGCCGGUCCGCCUUCUUGGUGUGUACUUGCUCAUCGGGCGCUUACCUCCUGGUGAACUCUGAUGUCCUUUACUGGGUGUCAGAGCAAACCAGGACGUUUACUUUGAAAAAAUUAGAGUGUUCAAAGCAGGCCUACGCCCGAAUACAUUAGCAUGGAAUAAUAGAAUAGGACGCGCGUUCCCAUUUUGUUGGUUUCUGAGAUCGCCGUAAUGAUUAAUAGGGAUAGUUGGGGGCAUUUGUAUUCCGUCGUCAGAGGUGAAAUUCUUGGAUUGCCGGAAGACAAACUACUGCGAAAGCAUUUGCCAAGGAUGUUUUCAUUGAUCAAGAACGAAGGAAGGGGGAUCGAAAACGAUCAGAUACCGUUGUAGUCUCUUCUGUAAACUAUGCCAAUUGGGGAUUAGCACAGGAUUUUCAAUGACUGUGUUAGCACCCGAAGAGAAAUCUUUAAAUGAGGUUCGGGGGGGAGUAUGGUCGCAAGGCUGAAACUUAAAGGAAUUGACGGAAGGGCACCACCAGGUGUGGAGCCUGCGGCUUAAUUUGACUCAACACGGGGAAACUCACCAGGUCCAGACACAAUAAGGAUUGACAGAUUGAUAGCUCUUUCUUGAUCUUGUGGUUGGUGGUGCAUGGCCGUUCUUAGUUGGUGGAGUGAUUUGUCUGGUUAAUUCCGAUAACGAACGAGACCUUAACCUGCUAAAUAGACCAGUCGACUUUGGUUGACUGCUGUCUUCUUAGAGGGACUAUCAGCGUUUAGCUGAUGGAAGUUUGAGGCAAUAACAGGUCUGUGAUGCCCUUAGAUGUUCUGGGCCGCACGCGCGCUACACUGACAGAGCCAGCGAGUCUUUUUCCUUUGCCGGAAGGCAUGGGUAAUCUUGUGAAACUCUGUCGUGAUGGGGAUAGAACAUUGCAAUUAUUGUUCUUCAACGAGGAAUACCUAGUAAGCGUGAUUCAUCAGAUCGCGUUGAUUACGUCCCUGCCCUUUGUACACACCGCCCGUCGCUACUACCGAUUGAAUGGCUUAGUGAGGCCUCCGG